AUAAUAAAGGAAAAUAUUUUUAGCUUCUCUCUUGUUGCUUCUCAUCUUUUGGAGAAAUAAGCUAAUUUAUCUGCAUCAAAUAAUUUUGAUUAGGAACUAAGAACCUUACAAAUAGCUUUGGUUUUACAAUUAGUAUCAGCAGUUCUAGCAGGUUCUGUUUUGAUCUAGUCCAUUCAGCACUUGAAGCUUUGUAGGUUGUCUUAUUUAUCACAUGGGAUGCAGCGUAGCCGCGUAGGUCCAGAACAUGUUGAUGUUUAUCUUUUUUUAUCAGUAUUCAGAAAUAGAAAGAGAACUAAAGGAUUUGAGGAAUUAUAUAUACUUAGGGAGU